rnacentral:tRNA from 1 species
ACCUGGGUGGCUCAGUGGUUGAGCAUCUGCUUUCUGCUCAGGUGGUGAUCCCCAGGUC